GGGGAUUUAGCUCAGCAGCGUAAGCGCCUGCCUGGCAAGCAGGUAGUCAUGUGUUCAAUCCCCA
rnacentral:tRNA from 1 species